AAAAGACGUUUUGUUGGACCCUGGAUAUCUGAUAUCUACAACCAUCUAGUAAAGAACAGGAAAAACAAAAACUCGUCACCAUGAAUAAGUUCAUUACUGUUUGUCUGUUUCUUGCUGUUUUGGGAUGUACGUUGGCAACUGCAGAAGAUGGUUUGUGCGCAUGUGGUAUGAUAUAUGAUCCUGUGUGUUCAAUGACUGGGAAAACGUAUUCCAACGAAUGUGUACUGAACUGCAACGCUGGUGAAGUGGUGGCAUCACGUGGAGUAUGUCCAACUAAGAAGUAACCUCAACAAUUUGCAACGGACUGGUAUUGAAUACAAAAGACUGAACACAUUGGACUUGAUUUCAUCCUCUUAAACAAAUUUGUGAUUCACAUGGUGAUUGAUAUUUUUGACACUACUCUUAAAAAAUCCAAUGAAAUA